rnacentral:lncRNA from 1 species
CUCUUCUGGUAUAGCAGAGUCACAGUUCCUGUGACAUUGCCUGCCACGUCUUGAUGAAAUGAGAUCAUACAUACUCUGUAUGACAGAGGGAAGCCAAGGUGAGUGCUUGCACAGUGCCUGCUUCAUGGCCUCCCUAAUUGCUAUCCUGGAGCUCUGCGUGAAGAAGAGCAGGAAGUGGUGUGGCAGCUGAGUCCUGAGAGAUGGGCUAAGGCUCAGGGGGAAGGCAGGCAAGUGGAUUUCAGAUCCACUCGGAAUGUGCUGCUGGCUCCCUGACGUGCUAAUCUACAGUGCUGGUGACCAAGGCCCUUACCUCCAGGGCAGAGUCUGCUCCAAUCAGGCUUGGGAACCCAGAUGGCUCCUGGACAAAGAACUACAAGGACCCCAUCAGCCUCGCGGAGGAGCCUGCGCUGGCCUUGUGCCUGCUCUCCAGGACAUCUUCAUUGCUGCCAAGGCUCUGCCUUGUCCCGUGUUUGAGAAAUGAUGCCCCUGCUUUGUGAGCCCCAAAGGGAGUCUGAGCUGAGCUUGCCUGCUCCUCCCACCCAGCCCAAGAACCUCAGUUUCCCUCCACCCAGCACUCCCAGGGCUGCUCUUUACCUGCUGCCCGCUCCAUGAGCCGCACCUUUCCUGCUGCCUGGGUCUGCACCUGCCCCCCACCCUCCUGACCAAGGACUCUGGGGGUCCUGACGCCACCAAGGUGAAACCCAAUCCUAAUGUAAGGCUGGCCCGGGCUGUGAAGAGGAGCAGUAAAGGGUUACAGUAGAGAUCCCCGAACCUCAUUCCACAGCACCCUCAGGUGGCUGCACAGUUUGGGAAGCCAGGCAUUAAGGUAGUCAUUAAUUAAUUAAUUCAACCAUUUGUGAAGCACUUCCUCUAAGCAUUAAACCCUAAACACAACAGCUAAUAAGACCCAGCCCUAGGCCCUAAGGAGCUCCCUGUUUAAGUUAAGAGACAGACACAGGAACAUGCAAUUCAUGUGUUCCCCACAUUCACAGGAGCAGAGAGUUCAGGAGGAGUGCAUAGGAAGGGGAUCUGCCCACUUAUGGGUGCCCAGAGAGGGCUUCCUGAAGGCAGCAUCAGAGAGCUCAAUCCUAGAGCUUCAGCAGGCAAACAUGGGCAGUACCUAGGGGUAAAGCACAGAGUGCAGCAAGGAGGAUACUAGAGAGAGCCUGGCGUUGCUUUAAAGACCUGCAAGGAGGCUGGGCACAGUGGCUCACGCCUGUAAUCCCAGCACUUUGGGAGGCCGAGGUGGGCGGACCACAAGGUCAGGAGAUUGAGACCAUCCUGGUUAACACAGUGAAACCCCGUCUCUACUAAAAAUACAAAAAAUUAGCCAGGCGAGGUGGGGGGCGCCUGUAGUCCCAGCUGCUCCAGAGGCUGAGGCAGGAGAAUGGCAUGAACCCGAGGGGGCGGAGCCUGCAGUGAGCAGAGAUCGCGCCACUGCACUCCA